rnacentral:rRNA from 1 species
GACGAACGCUGGCGGUGUGCUUAACACAUGCAAGUGGUGCGACGAACCAGGCUUCGGCCUGGGGCAAAGCCGCGAACGGGUGAGUAACACGUGGGUAAUCUGCCCCGAUGACCGGGACGAACCCGACGGAAACUACGGGCGUAAUACCGGAUGUGGUGCCCACGACAUAAGUCUGGUCACUAAAGGUAAGCUUCGGCUUCCGCAUUGGGAGGGGCCCGGCGGCCCAUUAGCUUGUUGGUGGGGUCGAAGGCCUACCAAGGCAACGAUGGGUAGCUGGUCUGAGAGGACGAUCAGCCACACUGGGACUGAGACACGGCCCAGACUCCUACGGGAGGCAGCAGUGGGGAAUCUUGCGCAAUGCGCGAAAGCGUGACGCAGCAACACCGCGUGAGGGAAGACGGCCUUAGGGUUGUAAA